UAACUAAUACCAUUGAUUUAUAUUCAAGAUACAAUGUGGCAGUUUCUUUCAUUUGCCCUAAAUCUACCACUUUAAAUCUUCAAGGGAUAAAGUUCUGGAAUUCUGAGGUAUCUUAACAGUCCCUUUUACCAUGUCAUAAAAUGGCCUUUGAUGACACAAGAAGUUUCCAAAAUCAGUUCAAAAGUUACCAGAAGGAGUGCUGAAGAUAAGCAGAGAUUCCAGAAAGUGUUGGUAUCGAAGCAAGCAGCUUCCCGCCCAGCAGGUGAUGAAGAGAAGUACAGAUAGUGAUGAAUGCAUUAUACAAAUAGUUCCAGAUGUACUCAAAUAUGAGUUAACCCUACUGCAGAAAACAGAGCCAGUAAAUGGAAGAAAACCGAUUUUCAUGAAGAUUUUGACUGAGAAGCUUAAAUAAAAUGAAUACCACCCAGAGAACCACUUG